rnacentral:tRNA from 1 species
GCCGACCUAGCUCAAUUGGUAGAGCAACUGACUUGUAAUCAGUAGGUUGGGGGUUCAAGUCCUCUGGUCGGCA